rnacentral:rRNA from 1 species
UACGUAGGGUGCGAGCGUUGCCCGGAUUUACUGGGCGUAAAGGGCGCGUAGGCGGCCAGCACAAGUCAGUUGUGAAAUCUCCGAGCUUAACUCGGAAAGGUCAACUGAUACUGUGCGGCUAGAGUGCGGAAGGGGCAACUGGAAUUCUUGGUGUAGCGGUGAAAUGCGUAGAUAUCAAGAGGAACACCUGCGGCGAAGGCGGGUUGCUGGGCCGACACUGACGCUGAGGCGCGAAAGCCAGGGGAGCGAACGGG